AUUGAACGCUGGCGGCAGGCUUAACACAUGCAAGUCGAGCGGGGUGAUGGUGCUUGCACUAUCGCUUAGCGGCGGACGGGUGAGUAAUGCUUAGGAAUCUGCCUAUUAGUGGGGGACAACAUCUCGAAAGGGAUGCUAAUACCGCAUACGUCCUACGGGAGAAAGCAGGGGAUCACUUGUGACCUUGCGCUAAUAGAUGAGCCUAAGUCGGAUUAGCUAGUUGGUGGGGUAAAGGCUUACCAAGGCGACGAUCUGUAGCGGGUCUGAGAGGAUGAUCCGCCACACUGGGACUGAGACACGGCCCAGACUCCUACGGGAGGCAGCAGUGGGGAAUAUUGGACAAUGGGGGGAACCCUGAUCCAGCCAUGCCGCGUGUGUGAAGAAGGCCUUAUGGUUGUAAAGCACUUUAAGCGAGGAGGAGGCUCUUUUGGUUAAUACCCAGAAUGAGUGGACGUUACUCGCAGAAUAAGCACCGGCUAACUCUGUGCCAGCAGCCGCGGUAACAC
rnacentral:rRNA from 1 species